GAGGGUACAGCUCAGUGGCAGAGCACAUGCCCAGCAUGCAUGAGGUCCUGGGUUCAAUCCCCAGUACUUCCA
rfam:Camelus ferus unplaced genomic scaffold scaffold1887, whole genome shotgun sequence.